rnacentral:rRNA from 1 species
AGCAGUAUUAUCACCCUGUAGUCUGAUCUCAUUAGAUCUCAGAAGGUGAGAUAGGCUUGGCCUAGACAGUACUGGGAUAGCAGACCUCUAAGGAAAAUCAGGUCUGUUU